rnacentral:rRNA from 1 species
UGGGGAAUAUUGGACAAUGGGCGAAAGCCUGAUCCAGCCAUGCCGCGUGUGUGAAGAAGGUCUUCGGAUUGUAAAGCACUUUAAGUUGGGAGGAAGGGCAGUAAGCGAAUACCUUGCUGUUUUGACGUUACCGACAGAAUAAGCACCGGCUAACUCUGUGCCAGCAGCCGCGGUAAUACAGAGGGUGCAAGCGUUAAUCGGAAUUACUGGGCGUCAAGCGCGCGUAGGUGGUUCGUUAAGUUGAAUGUGAAAGCCCCGGGCUCAACCUGGGAACUGCAUCCAAAACUGGCGAGCGAGAGUAGUGCAGAGGGUGGUGGAAUUUCCUGUGUAGCGGUGAAAUGCGUAGAUAUAGGAAGGAACACCAGUGGCGAAGGCGACCACCUGGGCUCAUACUGACACUGAGGUGCGAAAGCGUGGGGAGCAAACAGG